AAUUGUUUUAAAAAUAAUCCUCAACGAAUAUCAAAUUGGGCCAGAGGAUAGAAUCAAUUUUCUCGAUAAGAAUCGAGGGAAAUAAUUAAAUUAAGAAUCAAGGAAAAUAAUUGGUGUUUAUACGAGGAAGGAAGAAAUCCAAUAUAUAAGAAACUUUUUCCAACGAAAAAUGCAUUUUUGAAUGAAUAUUAUAGCAUUGAAUGUAAAUACGAAUCCUAAAAUCUAAAUUUUCAUAUUUUUUUUACACUUAAAUUAUCCUUAUAUUUAAAUCGAUAUUAAUUUCAUAUCAUUCGUACAGUUAUAUGUACGAUUAUACAAUUAAACGUUUAAAUAUAUAUUCUACGUUUUAAAAAAUAAAAUGAAAAAAUGAAAAACUUCCUUUGCGUAUUUACACAAAUAUAUAACAAAUUCGAGACAUCCUGUUUAGUCAUAAUCAUAGAUAUAUAUACAUGGAUGUUCUCAAUUCUUACAUCAGGGAUGACGUAUACACGUUAUAUCAUAGAAUAGUGUAACUCAUCGUCUUAAAGUUGAUCGCCACGGUGCAUUGUGUUGCGUUUAUGAGUCAUGUCACGUGCUUCUACACCAUAAUUGCGAUAAUUAUGUAUUGGCAAGGUCAAAAUCGCGUCUAUGUCAUGAAAAAAUCACUCGAUGUCAUGGAAUCAUAAAUAUUGAGGUUAAUCGUGUAACUCGAAUUCUGGACUUAACGAGUGUGAAAGAUUAAUUAAAUUUGCAUAACCGUUAAAAAAAUGUUACUUCUCUAAACGCGAAUAAAAAUUUGUUGGUGACAUUUGGAAUCCCGGCUGUUACACAACCUGUUGCACUAGAUCGCUCAAACGUAAACACAAAAGGAAAUAUGGCGUGCUAAUAUUCGGUUAUACGCAUGUGAAUCGGAAGUUAUGCACACGUUACGUUCUGUUUCUAUGGAUAUUUUGGUUAUGGAUUACAUAAAUCCUGCGAAUCUGCCAAUAAUUUCCCUUAAUAUCACGUUGCAAUCGGAAGUUAACCAUUUCACGACUCGAUGACAUCGUAGAAUUGAUCGAUUGACAUGCAUAAAUGUCAACAUAAUUGUAAUUGCACGUGUGUCAACGUUACGAAUACACAUAAAAGAACGAUGAUUCGUAAUAAAAUGAAAGAUAAUAAACAAUUUUCUUGAUUUUCGAAUAAA